UUCUCUUAAUAAUGUUUACGGUUGUGGUUUGACGAAUCUACUCGCCUGGAUGUAUCUAUGAUUUCUGUUCUGCUGCUUUUCCAAUUUGAUUUCGACAUUCACUUUGGGGUUGUCUGUAUAUCGAUCUCCAAUGAAAUGGAUAUAUCAGAGUCUGGGGCUAAAAACCCAUUGAUGCUUUUGUCUACUUGAAGUGUAUUUGGUAAUUGAUGCUAUUUUGUUCGGGCGAAGCUGGCCUCCAUGGGUGGUGAUGACCAAGGGAGAUUGAAGCAUUUGGAGAAUGCUGAGAGUCUGUUGAUACUCAAUUGAAUAAAUAAGGUGACACCACCUCAUUGUCAUCUGAGCUUCACAAACAUUGUGAGUGGAGACCUUAGACUAGACUCAUAAGCCCAAAAGCAAUGUACAGAUUAAAUUUGGAGAUUUUACUACUACAAGAGGUGUCAAUAAAAAGAGAACAUCAUUACCAGAGAGUCUCUGUAAGACACCAUUGGCCUGCCCAGGGAAAUAGAAAAAGAGAAAUACGAAUGGGAUCAAGAAGACAAGAAGCACUUGGAUAUCUUCCACUGGAUUGACAUCUACGUGUAGAAGACUUUUCUGAAUAGCUUGAAGGCAGUUGGUUUCAAUAUUAGUAGGAAUAAGAAUACAAGGGUGCUCUUAUUUUAGUUCAAAAACGACCUCAUGAUUA